rnacentral:rRNA from 1 species
GUAGGCCUCAAGUGAUGUGUGACAACCCCC